UUCAUAGUAUUAAGCAAUCUCUUGAACCCCUGAGGAAUUUAAAAAAUAAUUUCAUCAUUUCUGUGUAAUGUACAAAAAAGUGUUGACAUACAUUUUAUUUUAUAUAAGCCUAUUUUAUUAAAAAUUGUGUUGGAAAGUAUCUCAAUUCUGUAUCUCAAGGCCAAAGUUGAGUUAACUCUUGAAGGAAAUUACAUUGAACUUGUAUCUAACUCAGCUGCUUUGAUUCAGCAAGCCACAACAGUUAAAAAAAAAGGAUGUCAGAAAAUCUGGGGAUAGUAUCUAUGUUUCUGAAAAAGGAACAGUUCAGCAGACUGAUGAAUAAGAUCUAAGUUGUCCAGCUACAGAAAUAGCAAGAUGCAGAUUGGAAGAGCAUAAGACUCUUGAUCUCGGG